rnacentral:rRNA from 1 species
AGACUUGGAACCGGGAGAGGUAAGAGGUACUACAGGGGUAGGAGUGAAAUCUUGUAAUCCCUGUGGGACCACCGUGUGGCGAAGGCGUCUUACCAGAACGGGUUCGACGGUGAGGGACGAAAGCUGGGGGCACGAACCGGAUUAGAUACCCGGGUAGUCCCAGCCGUAAACGAUGCUCGCUAGGUGUCAGGCAUGGCGCGACCGUGUCUGGUGCCGCAGGGAAGCCGUGAAGCGAGCCACCUGGGAAGUACGGCCGCAAGGCUGAAACUUAAAGGAAUUGGCGGGGGAGCACAACAACGGGUGGAGCCCUGCGGUUUAAUUGGACUCAAACGCCGGACAACUCUACCGGGGGCGACAGCAAUAUGUAGGCCAAGCUGAAGACUUUGCCUGAAUCGCUGAGGAGAGGUGCAUGG